rnacentral:lncRNA from 1 species
ACGUCCCCACAGAGUUAUGUGCCUCCUAUCUGUGUGCCUCCUGGAUACUUCCCACAGGUUAGUGUAGACAAUGGUGUCCAAAGAGUUGUGGUUGCUCAGGCACCAGAGUUUCACCCUAGUGGUCACAUAGGAAUCUACCCUUCUCCACAUUCUUCUCUGUCUAGUUUCAUUCCUGUCCCAACCAUGAUGCCCGCUCCACCAAGCCAUGUAUACUCACCAGUGACUGGAGCUAGAGGCACACAAUAUAUGACAGCUACAGUAUCAGUCUUCACAAGUAUAGGGAGAUGUAGAUUCUUAUUCUAUACAUGGAAGGUCCUAG